AUUGAACGCUGGCGGCAUGCCUUACACAUGCAAGUCGAACGGCAGCACGGGAGCUUGCUCCUGGUGGCGAGUGGCGAACGGGUGAGUAAUACAUCGGAACGUACCCAGUAGUGGGGGAUAACGCACCGAAAGGUGCGCUAAUACCGCAUACGACCUAUGGGUGAAAGCGGGGGACCGUAAGGCCUCGCGCUAUUGGAGCGGCCGAUGUCUGAUUAGCUAGUUGGCGGGGUAAAGGCCCACCAAGGCGACGAUCAGUAGCUGGUCUGAGAGGACGAUCAGCCACACUGGGACUGAGACACGGCCCAGACUCCUACGGGAGGCAGCAGUGGGGAAUUUUGGACAAUGGGGGCAACCCUGAUCCAGCAAUGCCGCGUGUGCGAAGAAGGCCUUCGGGUUGUAAAGCACUUUUGUCAGGGAAGAAAUCUUUCGGGCUAAUACCCCCGGAAGGAUGACGGUACCUGAAGAAUAAGCACCGGCUAACUACGUGCCAGCAGCCGCGGUAA
rnacentral:rRNA from 1 species